rnacentral:rRNA from 1 species
UACGUAGGGGGCGAGCGUUGUCCGAAGUUACUGGGCGUAAAGCGCGCGUAGGCGGCUCUUUAAGUCUGGUGUGAAAGGUUCAGGGCUCAACCCGAACAGUGCACCGGAUACUGGAGAGCUUGAGUUAGGGAGAGGAGAGUGGAAUUCCUGGUGUAGCGGUGAAAUGCGUAGAUAUCAGGAGGAACACCCAUGGCGAAGGCAGCUACUGGCGCAUUAAUCUGACGCUGAGGCGCGAAAGCGU